AAUACAUGAUGACAGUUUCGGCCCCAGAUGAAAAACAAUGAUUACUGUUGUGAGAUCACCUGACAUU